UAAAUUAUAUAUAUAUAUAUAUACAUACAUACAGACUCAUUUUUUGGGUCAUUUUUUCUGUUUCUGUUUUUCAGUGUUUGGGUAGUUUUUUGUUACCCAGCUCCUGGGUCAAAUGUAACAACCCAAUGUUUGGGUAGUUUUUGUAUUACUCAGAUCCUGGGUCAGACUUAACCCAGCGGUGGAGUUAUUUAUCGCGGGGAUUUUGCUCCUCUUCUGGAGAGAGCAGUUAUAAGCGCCAUCGAAUUGAUGCAUUCAUCGGUAAAAUACAGCCUUGGCACAAAACACGUCACACAAGAGGAGAACCAUUUGAUGGAAGAAAAGAAAAAGAAAAAGCAAGAGGAAAAGAAAAAGAAGGAAGCUGCUCAGAAAAAGGUCAGUUUCUUUUGUGUGACCCACAAGCUUUCACGUAGAGUCGUUUGCUUGCAUCCUUAUUAUAAAAGCUGCUUAACGGACACCUUACUGAGCCUAUCAUAAUCUUCUGAGACAUCUUUACCAAUGUAAACCACAGGUACCAAACGGGACACCAGCUCACAGGCUCUGUUCAAACACUAUACUUAUUAUGGUGCUCACUUCUUAGACAUUGUCGUGGAGUCAUCUUGGUUUUACUAAUACACAGGCCACAUCCUGCUGUUCUUUGUAUUGAUUAAGCACCAAAUAUUAAGCUAGUUCUCUAUUUAGCAUAAUACUUAUAUAGAAAAUCUAUCAGUUAUAAUCAGUCUGAUGUUUUCCAAGAUUUGUGUUCCACUAGUCACUUUUACUCGGUUUUGUUCUUCCAGAAGAGAUGCUUUCUUUGUUAUAAAGCUUUUGUACGUUGGAUCUGUGAAAGUGUUCAUCUCUGUCUACCUUUGUUCUUCUUUUACAGGCUGCUGAACAGAAAACCAAAGGUCAGUUAUGAUUCUCUUUGCAGUGCUGCUAUAAGCAUGAAGCAUUCUUUUUUUUAAGGAUCUUCUCCAUAUACAUAUGUUCAUACCACAUGCAUCUCAAACACUACUGGAGUGGCAAAACAAAAUUUUAAAUGCUAACUGGCUAGUGUAUCUUUAUCACUUGAGAGUAGAGAAGAGGUGAAGAGUAGGUUCUGUGCAGUUAUUUAGUGUAUGUGGGCGAACUGAAUGACUGGCACAAGACAGCGCAACAGUUGGUAGAGACAAAUCGCCCAUGUUUGGUAACUGCUAAAGGAUUUCGUGCAUUUUAAACAUUUAAAAGCAGUUGUAACUGGCCAUGCAGUAAAUUAGGAUUAUAUUCCUUAAAGAGAGAGUUCACCCAAAAAUGAAAAUUCUGUCAUUAAUUGUUCACCCUCAUGUCGUUUCACACUCAUAAAACCCUCAUUCAUCUUCUGAACACAAAUUAAUAUUUUUUGAUGAAAUCUGAGCUUUCUGACCCUGCAUAGACAGCAACACAACUGACACCAUUAAGGCCCAGGAAGGCAGUAAGGACAUCCUUAAAAUAGUCCAUGUUGUGAAUGCACAAUGAAGACUGUUACAGAAGAGAAGAAAUUGUUGAAUAAAGUAAUUAUUUUUGGUUCCUUUGCACACAAAAAGUAUUCUCGUAUCUUAAUAAAAUUGCGGUUGGUCCACAGAUGUCACAUGGACUAUAACAGUGUCCUUACUGUCUUUCUGGGCCUUGAAUGUGUCAGUUGUGUUGCUGUCUAUGGAGGGUCAGAGAGCUCUCGGAUUUCAUCAAAAAUAUCUUAAUUUGUGUUCCAAUGAUGAGCAGAGGUUGUACGGGUUUAGAACGACAUGAGGGUGAGUAAUUAAUGAAUUUUCAUUUUUGGGUGAACUAUCCCUUAGCUAACUACUAUGUCUUGCAAAGACUGAUUUCACAGCUCAUGUUUUAUUCAUCAUGAAUGCACACAAAUAAUUUAUUUAUUUAUUUAUUUGCUUGUUUUUUUUUUAUUUUUAAACUUUUUAUUUACCAUUUUUUUAAUGGACAUAACAUUUCAUAACAAUAAAUUUUUACACUGUUAAUUUGUUUAAAAUAUUUGUUUUGCUCCUUUUGUAGAUUAUCAUAGUUUUAAACAGGUAAUAACAUGAUGAUUUUUUAGAAUAAAAUCUUUGUCUGGGACAAGUGCAAAAUUAUAAAAUCUAUACAUUGUAAGCAUUUGUAAUUAAAUGAUGGAGAAAAGUUUAGUGUUACAAAAAGAAAAAAGCUGGGGAAAAAAUCAACCACUAGGACAUAAAAGUUCUUGUAGAUGAAGAAACACCUGAUCAUUCAAAGUUAUCUGUCCUGUGUUAGUAGAUCUGCUGCUUAACAAUGAUGUAACCAAGACAUUAUCCAAAUUAAAAGAGAAGGGAGAGUGACAGCACUGGAAGAGAAACAGCGAGAGCAAGAGAGGAAAGUAUGUGCUGAGCUGACGUAUUUGGUUGAGGACUCCUCGCCCCAUUGGACAGGUUACGCCCCCUUCAUUGAGCGGGGUGAGGUAUGAGGCAGUCAAUUUUAGACACCAGAAAGGGCUUUUUGAGGGCUGUCGUGGGGCAGAUGGGAGAGGGGCUUAUGUCAUGUUAGGGAUAGACAGUCAUAAAUCUCAUUAGAGCAUCUGCUAAUGCUGGAACUCUCAAACAUCAGACUUGACGCAGGAAGAAGUGCUGAUUUAAUGCUCACAGGGACCUUCUAUUGCAAAAUACUCUGGACAACUGAGUCGUCUUUGUGCUUCUUUCACACUUUCAUCCUCCGAAUCUCUGUAUCACCACAUGAGUCAAUGCUGAGAAUCUCUCUUUUCUUUAAUCGGGGUGCACUAGGGGCAUUCGCAGAGUUCUGCUAAUUAGAUGUAAUCUGGUUUUGCUUUGUUUCACAUCUUUCUUUAUCCCCUCUUGGGCCACGGUUCCUAAGGACACACAUUAUCUUCAGCUGAUAAGGAUAUGUCUCUUCCUUCCUCCUGCUAGAUCUUGAAUUUGGCUGACUGGUUGCUGGGUGGCUCGACGUGUGUUAGAUUUCUUGUGCGUAAAGAAAUGUAAGAUAGACCAAAGCACUUGUUUGUUGAGAAGGAUUUGUCGAAAGGUGAUAGUAUAGCAUAACCCUCCUGGAUCGAUGUUGACCUUUCUAUGUCUAAGCCUUCUAAAUCCUUUACCCAAGAUACCGUCUGUGUGACGGAUCUCUUAUAAUCGGACAAAUUUGAUACAAACAAAUAGAUAAAGUGAUGUUAGAACUGUGCCAAAUGGUUUUGCUUGUUAAAGUAGGUUUUGCUGAUUAAAGUUUUAAAGUUAGUCGGCUGUUUAAACAAUAAGUUGGUCUUAAAAGGAUGAUGUCAUCAUCAUUUACUCACUUAUGGAGUUAUUUCAAAACCAUUUGGCUUUUUUUUUCUUCUGUAGACAUAAAAGAUAAUGUUUUUUUUCUUCCAUUUACAAUGGAAAUAAAUAGUUUGGCUUCCAACAUUCUUCAAAAUAUCAGCUUCAUUCUUCAAAAUAUCAAUUCAAACUAAUGACAAUUUUGGGUUAACUAUCCCUUUAAGGAAGCUCUGUAUAUAUAGACUGGUUGAGGGCAUGUCUAUCAGAUGCCAGAUGUGUUUUCAAAGAUGUAUAGAUGCUAAUCUCAAUUGUUCAGUGGGGUAACUGACAGGUAUUCAGCAAACAAAAUGACUGAAUUAUGCAACCUUUUAGCAAACAAAAUCAUCAGUCAUUAUAAAUACAGAGACCUACGCUUUAAUAACAGCAAGUGAUUUGAAGACUGACAAUCAUUGUCGUGAAAUGUGUUAAAGUUUGAAGGCUUGACACAACUUCUUUCAGCAUGUUCAAACACUCUGUGAAGUUGUGUUCCCUUUAAAGCACUGCCACUAAAAAUAUUAAAGCCAUAUCAAAAGAAAAAAAAAGUAGUUGACCUCACUUUUUACCUACUAGUUGACCAUUCUGACCGUGCUUUCUUCUAGUAACAAGUAUAUAUGUGAUAUUCUGUGAGUGUUAGUUGGACAUUUCAUAUUCAGCAUGGUGUCACCUAAAGAGUGUUUGUGUCAUUAGAGAAAGGUGAGGAUGAGCUCUGAGGCGUGAAGCUCUGGAGAGACUGGAGAAGCUU
rnacentral:lncRNA from 12 species